rnacentral:rRNA from 1 species
CUUGACACUGAACAUUGAGCCUUGAUGUGUAGGAUAGGUGGGAGGCUUUGAAGUGUGGACGCCAGUCUGCAUGGAGCCGACCUUGAAAUACCACCCUUUAAUGUUUGAUGUUCUAACGUGGACCCGUAAUCCGGGUUGUGGACAGUGUCUGGUGGGUAGUUUGACUGGGGCGGUCUCCUCCUAAAGAGUAACGGAGGAGCACGAAGGUUGGCUAAUCCUGGUCGGACAUCAGGAGGUUAGUGCAAUGGCAUAAGCCAGCUUGACUG